rnacentral:rRNA from 1 species
GCGUAUAUUAAGUUGUUGCAGUUAAAAAGCUCGUAGUUGAAUUUCGGGAUCAAUACGUCGGUCAUGCCUCUGGUAUGUACUGGUGUUAUUGGUUUCUCCUUUCUGAGGAGCCAUGAUGUCAUUAAUUUGGUGUCGUGGGGAAUCAGGACUGUUACUUUGAAAAAAUUAGAGUGUUUAAAGCAGGCACGCGCUUGAAUACAUUAGCAUGGAAUAAUGAAAUAGGACGUUCGAUUCUAUUUUGUUGGUUUCUAGGAUCAACGUAAUGAUUAAUAGGGAUAGUUGGGGGCAUUAGUAUUCAAUUGUCAGAGGUGAAAUUCUUGGAUUUAUUGAAGACUAACUACUGCGAAAGCAUUUGCCAAGGAUGUUUUCAUUAAUCAAGAACGAAAGUUAGGGGAUCGAAGACGAUCAGAUACCGUCGUAGUCUUAACCAUAAA